GAUCAUGGCUCAGGAUGAACGCUAGCGGCAGGCUUAACACAUGCAAGUCGAGGGGCAGCAUAAUGGAUAGCAAUAUCUAUGGUGGCGACCGGCGCACGGGUGCGUAACGCGUAUGCAACCUACCUUUAACAGGGGGAUAACACUGAGAAAUUGGUACUAAUACCCCAUAACAUCAUGAGAGGCACCUUUUAUGGUUGAAAAUUCCGAUGGUUAGAGAUGGGCAUGCGUUGUAUUAG
rnacentral:rRNA from 1 species